ACGGAAGGCAGCAGUGGGGAAUAUUGCACAAUGGGCGAAAGCCUGACGCAGCGACGCCGCGUGAGUGAAGAAGUAUUUCGGUAUGUAAAGCUCUAUCAGCAGGGAAGAAAAAUGACGGUACCUGACUAAGAAGCACCGGCUAAAUACGUGCCAGCAGCCGCGGUAAUACGUAUGGUGCAAGCGUUAUCCGGAUUUACUGGGUGUAAAGGGAGCGCAGGCGGUACGGCAAGUCUGAUGUGAAAGCCCGGGGCUCAACCCCGGUACUGCAUUGGAAACUGUCGAACUAGAGUGUCGGAGGGGUAAGCGGAAUUCCUAGUGUAGCGGUGAAAUGCGUAGAUAUUAGGAGGAACACCAGUGGCGAAGGCGGCUUACUGGACGAUAACUGACGCUGAGGCUCGAAAGCGUGGGGAGCAAACAGGAUUAGAUACCCUGGUA
rnacentral:rRNA from 1 species